AUUGAACGCUGGCGGCAUGCUUUACACAUGCAAGUCGAACGGCAGCGCGGGCUUCGGCCUGGCGGCGAGUGGCGAACGGGUGAGUAAUAUAUCGGAACGUACCCAGAAGUGGGGGAUAACGUAGCGAAAGUUACGCUAAUACCGCAUACGAUCUACGGAUGAAAGCAGGGGAUCGCAAGACCUUGUGCUUUUGGAGCGGCCGAUAUCUGAUUAGCUAGUUGGUGAGGUAAAGGCUCACCAAGGCGACGAUCAGUAGCUGGUCUGAGAGGACGACCAGCCACACUGGAACUGAGACACGGUCCAGACUCCUACGGGAGGCAGCAGUGGGGAAUUUUGGACAAUGGGGGCAACCCUGAUCCAGCAAUGCCGCGUGAGUGAAGAAGGCCUUCGGGUUGUAAAGCUCUUUUGUCAGGGAAGAAACGGGAGUGGCUAAUAUCCAUUCCUAAUGACGGUACCUGAAGAAUAAGCACCGGCUAACUACGUGCCAGCAGCCGCGGUAAUAC
rnacentral:rRNA from 1 species